CAGGCAACGACCCGAAGGGCGAAGCGCGCAGCGCUGAGUAAUCUCUCCCCCACCACCA
rnacentral:sRNA from 3 species